AGAUCGGGAGGCACUCUACGGGAAGUGUGCCGGGAAUUGAUCGUAACUUGUUGCUGUCUCAUUGGGGAACGCGACCGGUGCCCGACGGUUUCGUGUU
rnacentral:ncRNA from 1 species